CAAAACAGCAAGAGUUCCUAACAUGGCUGACUGACAAAAUCUCUUUAUGUCUGUUCAGAGCGGCCUACAGUUUCUCCUACAAGUGCUCUUUUUUGUUGUUAUGGAGAGAUGCUUCUUGUCUCAGACUACAUGUGUCUGUAAUUGCAUUCCACGGUAUUGAGAGCAUUGGGCACAAAGGAAAAGGGAGUGAGGAAGAGGCUGGAUGGAUGCUGUUGGGAGCCAACCCACCAGACUACCACGACCAGGUUGGGCUCAUAUGAAGCUAUUCCAGACACAUUAAGAUGCAGAAAUCUACUCCAGCUAACUUUAGGCAUAAUGAGGUCUGAGAAAUUAUCAUCUUUCUCUGACAAAAUGAAGUCUUUCAUUGCCGUCAUUGUAAGUCAGCAUCAUAGCCUCACCUUUCAAGAAAUUUUCAUUUGUCAUCCUGUUCUAACUCAACAGUUAAAAAACAUCUCUGAAAGCACUUCCACCUGCAGGCGUGCCCCUCUAAUUGUCUGCGACAAGUUAAAGAGCAAGCUGUAAAAAAGGGAUGAACAGGAAAAUAUGA